UGGACAACAGGUAGAGAUUCCUGUACCAGUGCUAAUUGUUUAACCGAUGGGGUGACACAGAAGGAUAGGGAAUCGCACGAAUGGAAAUGUGCGUCCAAGCAGUGAGUGUGAGAAGUAGGCAAAUCCGCUUCUCGCGAAGCAUGAGCUGUGAUGGGGAAGGAAAUUAAGUACGGAAGUUCCUGAUUUCACGCUGUCAAGAAAAGCCUCUAGGAAGAGUAGUACUGCCCGUACCGCAAACCGACACAGGUAGAUGAGGAGAGAAUCCUAAGGUGAGCGAGAGAACUCUCGUUAAGGAACUCGGCAAAAUGACCCCGUAACUUCGGGAGAAGGGGUGCUCUAUUAGGGUGCAAGCCCGAGAGAGCCGCAGUGAAUAGGCCCAGGCGACUGUUUAGCAAAAACACAGGUCUCUGCAAAACCGUAAGGUGACGUAUAGGGGCUGACGCCUGCCCGGUGCUGGAAGGUUAAGAGGAGUGCUUAGCUUCGGCGAAGGUACGAAUUGAAGCCCCAGUAAACGGCGGCCGUAACUAUAACGGUCCUAAGGUAGCGAAAUUCCUUGUCGGGUAAGUUCCGACCCGCACGAAAGGCGCAACGAUCUGGGCACUGUCUCAACGAGAGACUCGGUGAAAUUAUAGUACCUGUGAAGAUGCAGGUUACCCGCGACAGGACGGAAAGACCCCGUGGAGCUUUACUGCAACCUGAUAUGGAAUGUUUGUACCGCUUGUACAGGAUAGGUAGGAGCCGAAGAGACGUGUGCGCUAGCAUACGAGGAGGCAAUGGUGGGAUACUACCCUGGCUGUAUGACCAUUCUAACCCGCCACGCUUAGCGCGUGGGGAGACAGUGUCAGGUGGGCAGUUUGACUGGGGCGGUCGCCUCCUAAAGAGUAACGGAGGCGCCCAAAGGUUCCCUCAGAAUGGAUGGAAAUCAUUCGCAGAGUGUAAAGGCACAAGGGAGCUUGACUGCGAGACUGACAAGUCGAGCAGGGACGAAAGUCGGGCUUAGUG
rnacentral:rRNA from 1 species